rnacentral:misc_RNA from 1 species
AAGUCGUAACAAGGUAUCUGUAGGUGAACCUGCAGAUGGAUCAUUUCGAUGAAAACCUUUUUUCUGAGGUGUGGCUCGCACCUGUCUAACUAAACUUGAGCUACCUUUUUAACACGGUUGCAUCGGUUGGGCCUGUCGAACAAUGCAAAUACGCGCUGGGAGACGGUCUCGACACUUUUAACCAAACACUUUUGAUGAUCUAGGAUUUGAAUGAAGUUCAUUUUUACGAUGGAACCGACUGGUAAUGCGGUCGACUAAAUCUAAAAAACAACUUUUGGCAACGGAUCUCUUGGUUCUCC